rnacentral:rRNA from 1 species
UACGAAGGGGGCUAGCGUUGCUCGGAAUCACUGGGCGUAAAGCGCACGUAGGCGGGUUGCUAAGUCAGGGGUGAAAUCCUGGAGCUCAACUCCAGAACUGCCUUUGAUACUGGCGAGCUUGAGUUCGGGAGAGGUGAGUGGAACUGCGAGUGUAGAGGUGAAAUUCGUAGAUAUUCGCAAGAACACCAGUGGCGAAGGCGGCUCACUGGCCCGAUACUGACGCUGAGGUGCGAAAGCGUGGGGAGCAAACAGG